AACGAACGCUGGCGGCAUGCCUAACACAUGCAAGUCGAACGAGACCUUCGGGUCUAGUGGCGCACGGGUGCGUAACGCGUGGGAACCUGCCCUUAGGUUCGGAAUAACUCCCCGAAAGGGGUGCUAAUACCGGAUAAUGUCUUCGGACCAAAGAUUUAUCGCCUUUGGAUGGGCCCGCGUUGGAUUAGCUAGUUGGUAGGGUAAAAGCCUACCAAGGCGACGAUCCAUAGCUGGUCUGAGAGGAUGAUCAGCCACACUGGGACUGAGACACGGCCCAGACUCCUACGGGAGGCAGCAGUGGGGAAUAUUGGACAAUGGGCGAAAGCCUGAUCCUGCUAUGCCGCGUGAGUGAUGAAGGCCUUAGAGUUGUAAAGCUCUUUUACCCGGGAUGAUAAUGACAGUACCGGGAGAAUAAGCCCCGGCUAACUCCGUG
rnacentral:rRNA from 1 species